rnacentral:rRNA from 1 species
UACGAAGGGGGCUAGCGUUGCUCGGAAUCACUGGGCGUAAAGGGUGCGUAGGCGGGUCUUUAAGUCAGGGGUGAAAUCCUGGAGCUCAACUCCAGAACUGCCUUUGAUACUGAAGAUCUUGAGUCCGGGAGAGGUGAGUGGAACUGCGAAGUGUAGAGGUGAAAUUCGUAGAUAUUCGCAAGAACACCAGUGGCGAAGGCGGCUCACUGGCCCGGUACUGAACGGCUGAGGCACGAAAAGCGUGGGGGAGCAAACAGGG